rnacentral:lncRNA from 1 species
AACGCCUCCCGAUUAAUACCAUAAUUUUCUCCAACUACUAUAGCGUACCUUUGUAGUUUGGGGAGCACAAAAUCUUCUAGAGGAAUUUGAUUAGUAGAAAGUCUCAGUGAUAGUGCAGUUAAACGAGACAAUGACUUCAACUCCAAUAAGUUGAGAUUAUUUUUGGGUAUGACAUGUAACUCUUGUAGUGAAGUCAACCUAUUAUAUUCAUAAAGAAAGUAGCAUUAAUUGAAAAUUUAUGUGACACAAUCCACAUUCCAUGAGGUAAAAAAAUUGUAAUUCGUUAAAGUAAUUCAUUAAAAAAAUAUGUGUAAAAAAAAGGUCAAAAACUUGAUAUAAAUCAAGAUAAGUAAUAAAAGGACGCUAUUAAAAUUAAAUAAAAGAAUCUCUAAAUUUUUUUAUCACUUUCAAAGAAAUUUUCAAGAGGUUAACUUUUUUUCUUCUUUUUAACAAAUCUCAAAAUUUCUGGGUCUAAAACAUAAGUAAAUUUUCUGUUUUUUUAUAAUAAUUUUUUUCACUCUCAAAUUUUAUAAGAAAGCCAUUUUACCCUUCUAUUUAAAUUUUCACAUUUUAUAACCCUUAAAUUUGUGGGUUUUUUUUUGUCAAAUCAUCUCAAAAUGAAUAGAAAAGUUAAUGCUUUAAAAUUUUGCUGAUGUUGAUAUGCGUGGAUUGACACAUGAAUAACACAUUAUCCAUAAUAUAUAUAUUAAAACAUAUCUAAUAGUAAAAAAAUCAAGUAUUUAUCUUGAUGUUUUAUUAAAAUUUAAAGUCUUUAUUGUAUUAAACUUCCUUAAUUAAUUUUUGUUGAAUAUUAUAUAUAUAUUAUAUUUACUUUAAUAUAUAUAUAACACUUAAUUAUAGUUAAUAAAUUUUUUUAUUUUCUUUGGCAACCCACAUAUCUAUCCACAUAUACUUCAGAAAUUACAUUAUUUGUCUUAUAUGUCAAGUCAACAAAUAAUUAAAUCUAACGCACUCUUACCUUGAUACCAAGCCAGGGG